GACGAACGCUGGCGGCGUGCUUAACACAUGCAAGUCGAACGGUAAGGCUCCAGCUUGCUGGGGUACACGAGUGGCGAACGGGUGAGUAACACGUGGGUGACCUGCCCUGCACUUCGGGAUAAGCCUGGGAAACUGGGUCUAAUACCGGAUAGGACCGCACCGUGAGGGGGUGGUGGAAAGUUUUUUCGGUGUGGGAUGGGCCCGCGGCCUAUCAGCUUGUUGGUGGGGUAAUGGCCUACCAAGGCGGCGACGGGUAGCCGGCCUGAGAGGGUGGACGGCCACAUUGGGACUGAGACACGGCCCAGACUCCUACGGGAGGCAGCAGUGGGGAAUAUUGCACAAUGGGCGGAAGCCUGAUGCAGCGACGCCGCGUGGGGGAUGACGGCCUUCGGGUUGUAAACUCCUUUCACCAUCGACGAAGGGUUUCUGACGGUAGAUGGAGAAGAAGCACCGGCUAACUACGUGCCAGCAGCAGCCGCAG
rnacentral:rRNA from 1 species